GAUGAACGCUGGCGGCGUGCCUAAUACAUGCAAGUCGAGCGAAUGGAUUAAGAGCUUGCUCUUAUGAAGUUAGCGGCGGACGGGUGAGUAACACGUGGGUAACCUGCCCAUAAGACUGGGAUAACGCCGGGAAACCGGGGCUAAUACCGGAUAACAUUUAGAACCGCAUGGAUCGACAUUGAAUGGCGGCUUCGGCUGUCACUUAUGGAUGGACCCGCGUCGCAUUAGCUAGUUGGUGAGGUAACGGCUAACCAAGGCAACGAUGCGUAGCCGAGCUGAGAGGGUGAUCGGCCACACUGGGACUGAGACACGGCCCAGACUCCUACGGGAGGCAGCAGUAGGGAAUCUUCCGCAAUGGGCGAAAGUCUGACGGAGCAACGCCGCGUGAGUGAUGAAGGCUUUCGGGUCGUAAAACUCUGUUGUUAGGGAAGAGCAAGUGCUAGUUGAAUAAGCUGGCACCUUGACGGUACCUAACCAGAAAGCCACGGCUAACUACGUGCCAGCAGCCGCCGUAA
rnacentral:rRNA from 1 species